UGCGCAGGCGGCCCCGCAAGUCAGGCGUGAAAUCCCCGGGCUUAACCUGGGAAUGGCGCUUGAAACUACGGGGCUGGAGUAUGGCAGAGGGAGGUGGAAUUCCACGUGUAGCGGUGAAAUGCGUAGAGAUGUGGAGGAACACCGAUGGCGAAGGCAGCCUCCUGGGCCAAUACUGACGCUCAUGCAAAGACUGGGGAGCGAAACA
rnacentral:rRNA from 1 species